rnacentral:rRNA from 1 species
UACGUAGGGGGCGAGCGUUGUCCGGAUUUAUUGGGCGUAAAGAGCGUGUAGGCGGUUCGGUAAGUCUGUCGUGAAAUCCUGAGGCUCAACCUCGGGCGUGCGAUGGAUACUGCCGGGCUAGAGGAUGGUAGAGGCGAGUGGAAUUCCCGGUGUAGCGGUGAAAUGCGCAGAUAUCGGGAGGAACACCAGUAGCGAAGGCGGCUCGCUGGGCCAUUCCUGGACGCUGAGACGCGAAAAGCUAGGGGAGCGAAC